CCAAGUUAUAAAAGCGCAGGUGCAUGUAAACUCUUUGCAUUUGGUGUCGUUUGUCCCAGGGCUGAGCCAGGGCGCCUGCUGAAUCGUGGCCUGCGACCGCCUGGCAUUAGGGAAUGCCGCCGGCAGCAGGCCCGCGACCCGAUGUGCGACCACCACCGUGGGUCUCCUCACGGCUGGAUGAUCACUUCACUGGCAUCGCACCGCUGUCGUUGCUCCCCAGCGAGAAACGAUCACGUAGUGCCUAGUUAGAAGCUUAGUUAAGACUUUUAUAAACAUGUAACAAUAUUAAGUGGCACAUCCAUCCAGCUAAGACGAAAAUAUCACUAUAAACUAUAUACACUUUCGCGAUAAUAGACUAAGAUAUAUUUAACAUACAUUAAGGCUUUUUUUUAUUACUAGUUAAACGUAUUCCGAUGUAAGUUUAAGACACAUUUAGAUUUAGUAUAAAAUUAAUAUAUUUUAGUUGUGUGA